AGUCAGGCUCUGGGUGGAUGUCCCCAGCUGCAGCCCCCAGCUGCAGCCACUGGCAACCUAAAGAACCACAGGCCUCCUGUGAGAGAGCAGAAUGGUGCAGGAGGCCAAGCCACAGAGCGUGGCUGGGGGACUGCAUGAGGCCAGCUCAGAGGGAGAGUAUUGGUGCCCUGGCACCUCCUCCACAUGGAACCAUGAGACAGGAGAAAGGUAUGCCUAAAAAACCCUGAUAAAGCUUGUUUUUAAUUUAAAUUGAAGGAUGAAGAAGAACUGACAUUAAUACGGAUACCUCAUUACUGGUUGAUUUAUUUGGUUCCCAAAUCCUGGCUCUGUGUCAGACUCACCUGUGGAGAUUUAAAAAGGCAUCCAGGGUUUUGAUCCACACUGUUGAGCAAUGGUGGGCUUGGUUAAUCUUUAAAAAGAAUCCUAAUAGAAGAGGACCAACAAUAAUUGCAUUAUGCUUCCGUGUGAAUAACUUCUUCAGAUUUGUUUGACAGAACAGAUUAGAGGAGCUCAAGGGAGCAGACAGAGAAAAAGCAUAAAGAAUAGAUCCUGUGUGCACACAGCAAGAUGGCAGCUGCUGACGAGCCCCGAAGAGAAGUCUCACCAGAAACUGACCGUGCUGGUACCCUGAUCCUGGACUUCCAGCCUCCAGAACUGUGAGAAAUAAGUGUCUGUUGUUUCAGCCCCCCAGUCUAUGGUAUUUUGUUACGACAGCCUGAACUGACUAAGACAUAGUCCAAUAUUGUUUCUCCCUGAUGGCAAUGUGUUAGGCCAGAACCUCCACGAUCCCUGAUUUUCCUUCAUGAGCAGGUAGGGUAGGAAAGCGAUACACAGGAGCUGAGUGUAGUUCUGAGAGAAGUUCAGACCAGCGUGUGAAAGGAGGAAGGUGAGCACUGGUCCGAAAUGGAGUACACCAAGAUUGAGAGGCAAGUACAGGAGAAAUAGACACUGUUAGGAAAAAGGGAGUCUGAAUGUUUCCACCAAGGAGACCUCCGACUUUCUGAAGGACUGUUUCCAAGAUGACCAGAAUCUUCUUUCUUCUCCACUUGUUAUGGCAAAGACAGUGCAUAAUGCCAGAAUGAAAUGACCCCAGUCAUCUCUAACAAUAUCUUAACAUGUUACGAACAAAAAAUAUCUGUACCAAGUCCUCUGCUCGCUCAAUACUGAGAGUCCUAUUCUCCACUGGAAAAGAGGCUGGACAUCCCCCAGACCAGCCAGGAAGAGCUUUCUAUGGAGCCCCCACCCCAGCAAGGAUGCAGUGGGUGGAGCAGGACCAGGCACAUCCAGACAGCUUAAUUGAAACAGGGUAUCAGAAAAAUAGGACCCUCUUAUAUUUUGCUAUACUUUUGACAUUUUUCCCAUUAAAAAAUGUUUUUAAAAAGGUAUUUCUGUAGACAAUUACAAUUUCAUUCCCCAGUUUAAAAAGUAGUGGUAUGGAACAAAAAUGACAACACAUCAUGAUAUCUUGUUUAGGUAUGCAGGAACUCCAAUAAUUUCCAGGAGAAACAAGUUUGUUUCUAUGUUCUUUUUAAGAAAAAAAUGAUCAUUUUAAUAAAGUUUAUAAGUAAAUUAAUAUACUUACUUUUGAUAUUGACUUUUAUUCAAAAAUCUUUUAUAUUUUAUUGAAUUCUCAUUUUAUAUGUAAAGCAUGUUUUGUUUGUCAUUAAUUUACAGGUAUUUUCAUAUUUUUAGCUUAUUAAAAAGUUGAGUUCUAUCUGUUCUAGAAUUUUAGUGUUUUCCAAUGUGUUUAUUUCGGUUUUUGUUAAUGUUAUUUCGCUUUUGUUUUCUUUUGGAUGAUUCUUUUGUUAUUUCCUGCAAGUGAAAUUCGGUGGAGGUUUAAUUUAAUUCUUGUUUCAUUUUCAUUUCUAAUAGAAAUGAAACUAUAUUUCCAAAAAAAAAUCUAAUAGAAAUAAAAUGUCUCAUUAGGAUAA
rnacentral:lncRNA from 1 species